rnacentral:rRNA from 1 species
UUCGGACGCUGGGGCACCGCCACAACGGAGGAGGCAGGUUGAGGCCGUCGAAGAGGGCGGCCCGCGAGGGGCGGAAGGAGAGGAAGUAUCCGGGGCGGUGCUGGCUUGAGGGUAGGGUACCCCCGAAGGCUCAGAGAGGGCCGGUCCGUCGGCGGCGUCGUCGUCGCUGGCGUCACCCGCCUGCUCUAGUGCUGCCAUAGGCUGCCGGCCGCGCUGCGGCGCUUGCUUCUGGGAGAGGAGGCGGCGUAGGCCAGUGAAUGGUAGCGGGGCGGCGACAACUCGCCAGUCGGUCGCCGCCCGAGCCUCUGCCUCUGGUCGAAGUGACUAUAAGAACAUGCCUUUGGGAGGCCGAGGAGGAGCCGCCGGAGACCGUUAAACUCAGGUUUAGACUACAAACUCGAAAAGCGAUACAUGGCACUUACCGUUCUUCUCUACCGGUUCCUUUAGUCACCUUCUGUCCCUCUCGAUCUUUUAUUCUAUCUUUGCCGUCUACGUAACCGACAAUUUGAAGAGGUCGCCAAGUUAAUGAGACAAAGAAGCUACUCUAGUUGGAGAGUGUUAGAACGACUUCAAGUAGGUGACGUCCACCUUCAACCACUUAACUUCCCGUCCAAUUGACUUCAUUAUUCAUUGACACUACGUAACACGUUCUCCUAAUGACGUCUUCCCGGUCUUUCAAACGCUUGCAGGCAACUUGGAAAGUGGUGACCGUAUGACCCCUGCCCUCCACCUAGGGGACCGGGUUUUCUCGUUGGGACUCCUGUGAUUAUACGGACUAACAGACUUGACGACCACUGUAUUUUCUGUUCAUUAAGGCUUGCCUCCCUCAUGAUGCCUCCUACAGCUAGUCUUGCUACACGGUACCCUGUAUGAAGGAGGCAGGCAUUUAUCACAAUCUAUGUAGACAAACUCGCUGUUGAUUAAGACCUAUCUCCCUCAUGAGAAAAGAUCUAACUAACCUAAUAACCAAAGGAAAACAACCUCAAGUAAGAGAGGAGAACAUCACGAAUUGAAGGGAACACGCGCGCGCACGCGCAAAUCACGUUUUUGAAGGAUGUAAACAAAU